GAUUUCUGGCUUGGUGCGCGCCGUCCGCUUCCGUUAGGGAGUGUGUGCGGUUGUGCGCCUGCCAUCAUUUUAGACAUUAUGCUGUGCCCUUCACUGGGUGGCAGGUAGUGGCUGAAUCUUUUACUUUGAAAAAAUUAGAGUGUUCAAAGCAGGCUUGCGCUAUGAAUACAUUAGCAUGGAAUAAUAAUUUAGGACUCCUGUUCUAUUUUGUUGGUUUCUAGGACGGAAGUAAUGAUUGAUAGGGAUAGUUGGGGGUGCUAGUAUUCAGAGGCCAGAGGUGAAAUUCUCGGAUUCUCUGAAGACUAACUUAUGCGAAAGCAUU
rnacentral:rRNA from 1 species